GCACCAGCUGUGUAAGGCGUAACAUUCUGCUCGGAAAGCAGAGGAUGCGGGUUCGAGUCUCGCCUGGCGCA
rnacentral:tRNA from 1 species